rnacentral:rRNA from 1 species
UACGUAGGGGGCUAGCGUUGUCCGGAAUCAUUGGGCGUAAAGAGCGCGUAGGCGGCCAGAUAAGUCCGGUGUAAAAGUCACAGGCUCAACCUGUGAAUGCCGCUGGAAACUGUCUGGCUUGAGUCCGGGAGGGGCGAGUGGAAUUCCUGGUGUAGCGGUGAAAUGCGCAGAUAUCAGGAGGAACACCAAUGGCGAAGGCAGCUCGCUGGAACGGUACUGACGCUGAGGUGCGAAAGCGUGGGGAGCGAACAGG